UUAUCAAAGAGUUUGCUCUGGGAAGGUAAGGAUAAAUUAAAAUAAAUCCAACCACAACCAAGUUUGGCCUGCCACGUGGUAUUUGGUUUCAGAACUUUGCAGAGCCUUUGGGUUCUCAUGAAUAUGGUGGAUGAACACGAAGAGGAGGGUGUAUGCAAACCUCCCUGACCGCAGCGCCCUCUCUGCUACAAGGAAAAAGCAGCUCAUCAGCUGGCAGCUCAGAUUAUACGUGUCAGCUGUGACAUCACAAAGCAAGCUCCCAGAUGGUACCAACUGAGCCUUUCAUCAGCAUUUUUAACACUGAUGCCAACACAAAAUGGGCCCAGCAGUCUAAUCACAAUUUACAUACUAAUGGGUAGACCCUAGUGAAUGAAGCUUGCUCGCUCUCACGAGGCAAGCUGCCAUGUUGUGAGCUGCCCUAUGGAAAGGCCUAUUUGGCAAGGAACUGAGGGCAGCCAACAGCCAUCGAGGAACUGAAACCCUCAGUCCAACAACCAAUGAAGAAUCCUGCCAACAACCAUAGAAGCGAGCUUCAAAAUGAAUCUUUCCCUGGUCAACACCGUAACUAUAGUCUGUGAGGGACGCUGUGGCAGAAGACCUACCUAAACCAUGCCUGGACUCCUGACUCACAGAGACUGUGAGAUAACAAACAUUUGUUGUUUUAAGUCACUAAGUUUUGAGGUACUUUGUUACACAGCAUUAGCUUACUAAUAUAUUCAUCUCAGUCUGCUGCAAACUACAGAAAGUACUCACCUGUGGUAUGACUCAUGCCUUACAAUCUUCAAGAAUAAAAGGCAGUCAUAUUUGCAUAUUUGCAUAAAUAAGGAUAGGGAAGAGUACAAAACCUCUCUGAACAUCUCUAGUUAAAAAAAAACCACAUACAACGUUAUUUGUUUGGCAAGAUGGCAUAGAAGAGAGAACAUUUAUAGGCACAAGUUGUACAUUCAAAUCAUUAAUUACACAAAUUUGAGCAAAUUGUAUAAAUUCUCUGGGAUUCAGUUUCUUCAUGAAAAAGAUGGUGAUGAGAUAGGGCUAGACUGUAAGAACUGCUAGCAUUUUAAUACUGUGAUUUGAGGAACUCAGGAAGCCCUCCUACCCCCAAUCUCUUUCUCAUCAGCUAAAAAUUCUACAUUAGGAAUUUGUUCCUUAGUGCUUCUAAACUGUCCCUGAACAUACUACUCAAGGGGAGACAUUUUGAAUGGUGAGAUGGAGAGGAAAUUUUAUAGAUACUUUUGAGAACAGCGCAGAGAGAUAAAGCCUUUGUUGCUGUGAAGGAUAGUGGUAGCAGCAACAAAGAUAAGCACGGUUGAUUUCACAAUUUUGAGGACCUAGUAGGCUUCCAUCUUUCUGAUAUAAGCAAUCUAUAGUCACAUUUCUCCCUCUUACCUUGAAUGCAAGGAAGGUUAGAACAAACGCAAGUUCGGUCCCAGCCACU